GACGCACUCUCAGAGUUUUGAUCCUGGCUCAGGAUGAACGCUGGCGGCGUGCUUAACACAUGCAAGUCGAACGAGAGAUACAGGAGGAAGUUUUCGGAUGGAAUCCAGUAGAUCGAGUGGCGGACGGGUGAUUAACGCGUGAGGAACCUGCCUUGCACAAGGGGAUAGCCUCGGGAAACCGGGAUUAAUACCCUAUGAUACUUAAAAUUCACAUGAAUUUUAAGUCAAAGCGAUUUAGCGGUGCAAGAUGGUCUCGCGUCCCAUUAGCUAGUUGGUAAGGUAAAAGCUUACCAAGGCUACGAUGGGUAGCCGGCCUGAGAGGGUGACCGGCCACACUGGAACUGAGACACGGUCCAG
rnacentral:rRNA from 1 species